rnacentral:pre_miRNA from 1 species
GGAAACUUGGAAACUACCGUUGGAUCGAGAAAUGGACGUCCGAGAUUCAUCCACGUCACCAUAAUUAAAAAUUUUACUCUUAGCAAAAUUUUUACUCAUGAGUAAAAUCUGCGAGUAAAAGUUUUACUCAUGGUGACGUGAUUGAAUCUCGAACGUCCAUUUUUCGAUCCAAUAGUAGUUUCCAGGUUUCC